UAGCUAAGGAAAGGUUUUAUGUGCUCUUUUCAGGAUAGAAAAUAAAGUGAAAUAUUAAUUUGGUUUGUCUCUAGAUAGAAAGGAGUUCUAACAUUCUUGAAGAUCAUCACUUGCUUUUGUAAUUAUUAUGGCAUGAAAUCAUUUUCCUAAGUUAUUUUUUAUAUUUAGUCUCUAGGCAUUGCAAAUUGCUUGGCUGAACUCUAUUCUCUUAUGUUCUUACUCUCAUCUUUUGGUAUAAUUUUCAUGUUUGAUCUAUAUAUAUAUAUAUUGUUCUCUUUUUAUAUUCUUUUACGUUAUUAAGGAAGAUGACUUUUCCUAAUCUGAGUUGUUUAACCUAAAAUUCAAAGUAAAAAAGGGUAAGUGCAAAGACAGUUGAGGAAAAAGAGUUGUGGAGAUAUUUUGAUUUGUUGUUUGAGGAAACAAAAUUUUACGAGAAAGCUUUGAUUGUUGAUUGUUGGUUUGGAAUCAGGAAAUUUCUUAUGUUUUCAUAUUUAAAUUGUGAAUAGGUGGUGGUCGUAGAUGUUUUCAUUCCAGGAGACUUGCAGUUUCUUUUCCCGGAAAAUUGAUUAAGAAAAGAGAGCAAAUGAAAAGAAAAAAGUGUUAUUUUUAAAAAGUAUUAGGACUGAAAAGAAAAUAAAAGGUAUAUUUAGCAUUGACUAAUGAAAUUCAAGAUUGACUAAUGACAAUUUAAGUGUGAGAUUCCAUUUUAGGACUAAUUGUGAGUAGUUUUAAAUGUAUUAGGAUUUGAUUGUAAAAUAAAAAAAUAUCCCAUGUAUUAGGACUUUAGAAGUUUUCCCCUAGUGUACUUAUCUUCUUUCUUAUCUCUGGUAAAGUUAUUAGUUUAUCAAAAAAAAUCUCCAGCUACAAGUUGUGCGCUGCCACACGCAACUCUCGCUUGAUCAACUAUAUUUGCUUCUAAAAUUUUCAUGUUUCUGUAAUAUCCAGUUUGCACAGAGACUUGCUAUUAUUGUCUAUUUAUAUUGUGGAUUCAAAUCGUAGUUGCAUCGCUCUGUGCAAAUCAAAGUGUCUACUCUCCACCUCCUUUGUGGGAUGAAAGAUGCUUCUGCUUUAUCCAAAUUUCAUUAUAUGGUGCAUGGUUCGUCAUUGUAGAAUCUAGGCAUUAUUAUUAAUCAAGUUAUGCUGGUGCAUCACUGGGCAAAUACCCUGCUUACUGUAUUAUGCUUCUGACCUUUAAUUUGUUUUUAUCUGCCAUUUGUGGCUACUUACUCUCCCCAUGAGCAUAUCCAUACAUGAUGCCUUGCUUUUUGGAGAAUUGUUGCGUCACUAGAUUUGUAGAAAAUUUUGUUCAGAUAAACAAGUUUUGGACAACAGGAAGUCAAUUUUAUCCAUGUGCUUUUGGGAUGCAAUAUUUGUGUGCGUGCAAAACACUUCUUAACUAUAUUGCCUUCAUUUGAACAAUUGCAUUCUAAUUGGUGAUGGAGUUACUGCUACUCCUGAAAGGCAGCGAGCAACCAAGGUUGCCCAUAUUGGGCAAAGUUGGUCACUUGAUUUGCCCUGCUUUACUAUAUCUUACACUUGACAGUAUUGGGCGUUUGUUUCCGAUUCCCGCAUAUUAUGUAUGCAACCAUAUUGAUCAUGUCAUAUUUGCCAUCUACUAUUGAAUCUCUUCUUCAAGAAUAUUAAUAUUUUGUAUGAUCUUUGUUUUAGGGUCUGAGAUGGCAUGCAAAGCGCCUCAAGAUAGAUGAAGAUGGUGACGUGGCAGAUGAAUUCCUUGAAGAGGUUUUACCAGAGACAUCAUCCUGUGUUGAUGACCACCAUAAACCAUUGCCGAGGUUUGAAGUGAAGUAUAGUGCCCGACCUGCAAAAAUCAAGAACCAGGUGAUUUCCCAUGAUGGGAAAUUCCAAGUGUGUGUAGAAUAUCAAGGUAGAUUACAAUGGGUGUGAUGUAUUUUGACAUCAAAGUUGAGGUUUGUGGGUUGGGUUUCACUCUUAAGUCUAUAGCACAAGUAUUAUAUUGUUGGCUCGUGCAAGCUAAUUCUUUUAGAUCAGAUUUGUGGUUUUCCAAUGUGGCAUGAAAUGAACUGUUGUAACAAUGCACCCAAAUUGUAUUAGUAUCUGCAUUACAUAGGCUUUUUACGCUAUUGGUUUUACUACAAGAUUUUGAUUUAAGACUGCUUGUUCUGAUUAUCAGAUACAAUUGAAGG
rnacentral:misc_RNA from 1 species